UAUUUUAGCCAUGUCACCCUGCAGCCCUAAACCGGUUACUCACUGAAGCUAAGCAGGGCUGAGCCUGGUCAGUACCUGGAUGGGAGACCACUAGGGAACACUAGGUUGCUGUUGGAA
rnacentral:rRNA from 1 species